AGGACGAACGCUGGCGGCGUGCCUAACACAUGCAAGUCGAGCGAGUGGAUCUCCUUCGGGAGUGAAGCUAGCGGCGGACGGGUGAGUAACACGUGGGCAACCUGCCUCAUAGAGGGGAAUAGCCUUUCGAAAGGAAGAUUAAUACCGCAUAAGAUUGUAGCUUCGCAUGAAGUAGCAAUUAAAGGAGCAAUCCGCUAUGAGAUGGGCCCGCGGCGCAUUAGCUAGUUGGUGAGGUAAACGGCUCACCAAGGCGACGAUGCGUAGCCGACCUGAGAGGGUGAUCGGCCACAUUGGGACUGAGACACGGCCCAGACUCCUACGGGAGGCAGCAGUGGGGAAUAUUGCACAAUGGGGAAACCCUGAUGCAGCAACGCCGCGUGAGUGAUGACGGCCUUCGGGUUGUAAAGCUCUGUCUUCAGGGACGAUAAUGACGGUACCUGAGGAGGAAGCCACGGCUAACUACGUG
rnacentral:rRNA from 1 species